GUUAAAACUGUUAAAAGCUAAAAAGAAAAUGCAUCUAAACUUAUAUGUGAGGCUUCCUGUCUGCUCUAUUUUUAGCAAACUUUCUUUUACAUGAACAAAAAGUGUUAACAUUGUGGUACUCCUGUGGUUAUGUACAAAUAACAACAGGAAUAGUAUAAAAAUUACUAUCAAGUUUCAGAAGAAACUGGUCACUCGACAGAUAUAUCAGAGUUGCUUAUAAAAGAUUAUUAUAGAGUCAAAUGACUCAACAAAUGAUCAUGAAUGUAGUUUUUCUGUUUCCACUUCACAUCUGCAUGAGGAGGAGGUGACACAAAUGCACUUAUAUUGUGAUUGUCUUUUUUUUUUUUUGCUUUCACUCAAAAUUUGGAUAAGGUGGGGCAUAAGAUAACUUAUAUAGGGUGUGUAAAAGAUCAUUGUUUAGGUUGAAGUAGAGUUUUUAUUGAUCUGGACACGUGUUUGAAAGCUUCAAGUUUUAGUUCAGCGGCCCCCAACCUUUUUUGUGCCAUGGACCGGUUUAUGUCCAACAAUAUUUUCACGGACCGGCAUUUUCGUUAUCACGGAUAAAUACAACAAAAUAAAACCAGUACGGGUACCAAAAAAAAAAUAAUUUUUUUACACGGGAAACACAUGGGACAGACACAGGAAAAGACCCAGGGAAAAGAUAAAAAUGAUAAAAAACAAACAAACACACAUAAAACACAUUAAAACCCUGAAAACCAUAAAUUUCACAACCGAGCCUCAACUCUCGCGGCCCGAUACCAACCGACUCACGAAUGGGUACUGGUCCUUUGCCCGGGGGUUGGAGACCACUGUUUCAAGUCACCCUGUGUUAUCCCCAUCUAAUUGAGACAGUAGUACCAUGGGCUUAUGCAUGUAUACAUGGCCAGAAAUGUACCAGUGCUGAAUUUUGGAAUUUUGGCUUCACACAAAAUUCAAACUCUGCUCCUCCAAGGUGAAAGUCACACAUUUACAACAUCUGACUUUUAUCUGGACUUAAGAUAACUUUAGAUUACUCACUUAAUCUGGUAAUAAAGGAUUUAUGAUUGGCCAUUGUCCUCCAUCAAAGGUUGAAUUUAAGGCUGAAGACCAGAGGGAGUGCAGGAGUCCAUCUCUCUCAGAGUAUUUGAAUUACAUUCUAUUAAAAGGUUAAAGUGGGGCUUUUUUUUGAAGUGAUGCCAGACACAUGCUGCCCUUCC
ensembl:lncRNA